rnacentral:rRNA from 1 species
GCGGAGGAAAAGAAACCAACAAGGGAUUGCCCUAGUAACGGCGAGUGAAGCGGCAACAGCUCAAAUUUGAAAGCUGGCCUUCGGGUCCGCAUUGUAAUUUGUAGAGGAUGCUUUGGGUGAAACGCCAGUCUAAGUUCCUUGGAACAGGACGUCAUAGAGGGUGAGAAUCCCGUAUGUGACUGGAAAUGUUAACCUAUGUAAAGCUCCUUCGACGAGUCGAGUUGUUUGGGAAUGCAGCUCUAAAUGGGAGGUAAAUUUCUUCUAAAGCUAAAUAUUGGCGAGAGACCGAUAGCGCACAAGUAGAGUGAUCGAAAGAUGAAAAGCACUUUGGAAAGAGAGUUAAAAAGCACGUGAAAUUGUUGAAAGGGAAGCGCUUGCAAUCAGACUUGUUUAAACUGUUCGGCCGGUCUUCUGACCGGUUUACUCAGUUUGGACAGGCCAGCAUCAGUUUCGGCGGCCGGAUAAAGGCUCUGGGAAUGUGGCCUUCACUUCGGUGAAGGUGUUAUAGCCCAGGGUGUAAUACGGCCAGCCGGGACUGAGGUCCGCGCUUCGGCUAGGAUGCUGGCGUAAUGGUUGUAAGCGACCCGU